GGGUUGCUGUUCCAGCUGCCGGCGAGGACCAGGGUGGUGGAGCUCGGCAACAUGGCUACCAGCGUCGUCGCCAUCCUCGUCCACUCCGCCAUCUUAUUCUGCAUCCUCAUCUUCGUCGUCCACAUCAUGGACGUGCACGUAUACGUCGUCUAG
rnacentral:rRNA from 1 species